UACGUAGGGUGCGAGCGUUAAUCGGAAUUACUGGGCGUAAAGCGUGCGUAGGCGGUUCCUCAAGUCCGUUGUGAAAGCCCCGGGCUCAACCUGGGAAUGGCAGUGGAAACUAGGGGACUGGAAUCUGGCAGAGGGGGGUGGAAUGCCGCGUGUAGCAGUGAAAUGCGUAGAGAUGCGGCGGAACACCGAUGGCGAAGGCAGCCCCCUGGGCUGAGAUUGACGCUCAGGCACGAAAGCGUGGGGAGCGAACCGG
rnacentral:rRNA from 1 species